AACAAUGCAAUGCUCGUACCGAUUUAAGUAUUAGUCAUAAACAUUGACAGUGAAUUCGGCAUACCUUUCAUUUUUGAGCGAAAGUACUAUUAUUAAGAACAUAAUGAACAGUAACACUUCGCUGGAUAAUACAUCUGAUCAGGACUAUUCUGAAUUUCUCAACGAGUAUUUACUGCAAGCCAAUUCCCCUAGCAACGAACCUGAAGUGAAUUACGAGGAUGGUGAAAUGGAGGCAGAAUGGCUGGUUUCUGCCGGAUACCCCGAAUUGACGAAGCCAUUUGAACAAGUAAGUUUACUAUACCUGUUGAGCUACUGAGCUUCUCCAGCAGAAUAGCGCACUCAAAGCGGGUGCUGAAGUUGACAUGGCCAGAUCAGCAGGGCUUUCUGAAAUUGAGACUAGAUAAUUCGAGUUUCCUGCUCUCCACCCGAUUGGCUCUAAAUUGAUAUGAACAAGGGUCCUAAGAGAGGACUGUUUAGCUCGUUCGGAAGAGCUCUGUAGGGGCUCCAUGAUGUUUGAAGGCAAGUUGUAAUGUUUAGAUGAAAUCGAUCGAUGCUACUUUCCAACGUUGAAUAGGAUUCCUCGUCCUCUGCUCCAUCAAGCACAAUCGGCAAAAUUGACACGAAUAUCUUAUUUGUACACAGCUAUGAUUUGCCAAGUGUGAUUCACAGGAGUUCCCAAUCUCGUCGUAGUCGAACUGCUUGAGCUCGUUUUUCACGGUUUUAAAAGUGCCGUGCAGCUCAUCGAUUUGCUUGAGCCUUACAACGAGCAUGAAGUGGUCAAAUACAGCAGAGCUCUCCAAUAUAACUUCAAACUGUUUCAUUAUUGCCAAUUGUGCCAGUGCUUACCACUUCAGGAAAGGCACCCUGUUUCCAGUUUCGGUCACUGCUCCGUUGUUUCUCGCAUCCAUAUCGGUAACGCUUUCGACACGUUUCCAGCUUGAGAUGACCGAAAAGAGGAAGACUUGCAGUAAACACAG
rnacentral:misc_RNA from 15 species